rnacentral:rRNA from 1 species
UACGGAGGGUGCGAGCGUUGUUCGGAAUCACUGGGCGUAAAGGGCGUGUAGGCGGUCCGCUAAGUCUGAUGUGAAAGCCCGGGGCUCACCCCCGGAAGGGCAUUGGAAACUGGCGGACUCGAGUCCCGGAGAGGAAGGUGAAAUUCCUGGUGUAGCGGUGAAAUGCGUAGAUAUCAGGAGGAAUACCGGUGGCGAAGGCGGCCUUCUGGACGGUGACUGACGCUGAGACGCGAAAGCGUGGGGAGCAAACAGG